AUGCAAAAGAAGAAAGAUACGGAUAACAAUAUUUUCAAAUUGAAGUUAUUUUCGUUUUCACUUAGAGAUCGUGCUAAAGUUUGGUUUUCGUCUUUGCCUAAAAAUAGUAUUGAUUCUUGGAACAAAUGCAAAGAUGCUUUUAUCUCUAUGUAUUUUCCUCCCGCUAAGAUUAUCACUCUUAGGAACGAUAUCAUGAAUUUAAAACAACUUGAUCAUGAGCAUGUUGCCCAAUCUUGGGAAAGAAUGAAAUUGAUGCUUCACAAUUGGCCUACUCAUGGUUCGAAUUUAUGGAUGAUCAUACAAAAAUUUUAUGCCGGUUUGAACUUUGCUUCUAGAAAUCUCUUAGAUUUGGCCGCGGGAGGCACGUUUAUGGAAAUCAUGUUAGGAGAUGCUACAAAAAUUCUUGAUAAUAUUAUGGCUAAUUAUUCUCAAUGGCACACCGAAAGAUCUUCUAGUAAAAAAGCGCAUGCUAUAGAAGAAAUUAAUGUUUUGAGUGGAAAGAUGGAUGAACUUAUGAAAUUGUUUGCUACUAAAAAUACGCCUCUUGAUCCCAAUGAUAUGCCUUUGUCUUCUUUGAUUGAGAAUAAUAAUGAAUCUAUGGAUCUGAAUUUUGUUGGUAGGAAUAGUUUUGGAAACAAUGCUUAUAGAGGAAACUUUAAUGCCAGACCGUUCCCUAGUAAUUCCUCUAAUAAUUAUGGAAAUUCCUACAAUAAUUCUUAUGGUAAUUUUAAUAAGAUGCCCUCUGAUUUUGAGAAUAGUGUGAAAGAAUUUAUGAUUUCUCAAAAGAAUUUUAAUGCUUUGCUUGAAGAAAAAUUGCUCAAAGUUGAUGAUUUGGCUAGGAACAUUGAUAGACUUUCGCUUGAUGUUGAUUCUCUUAAACUUAGAUCUUCUCCUCCUAAGCAUGAUAUCAAUGAGUCUCUCAAAGUAAUGAUAAUUUCCAUUGAUGAGUGUAAGGAAAGAACCGCUAGAUUGCGUGCUAAGAAAGAUAGAUUUAUAAAAGCGUGUUCUUCUAGUUUCCAUGAAAAUAAUGAUGAGGAUCUUAAAGUUAUUGAUGCGUCUCCUAUUAGAUCUAUGUUUUGCAAUAUGAAUUUUGAUGAUUAUGAGACUGAUGAUGAAUCAACUUUGCCUAGAAGGCGUCCCAAGAAUUCAGAGUCUUUAGAUCUUGAUGCUAAAUUUGGUAAAAGUGAGAUUGGAGAGUCCUCAACUUCUAAUAACAUUGAACCUACUAUCUCGGAUUUCAAGGAAUUUGAUUAUGAUAAUUGCUCUUUAAAAGGUUGUAUUUCCUUGUUGCAAUCCGUUGUUAAUUCUCCUCAUGCUUAUAGUCAAAAUAAAGCUUUUACCAAACAUAUCGUUGAUGCCUUGAUGCAAUCUUAUGAUGAAAAACUUAAUUUGGAAGUUUCUAUACCUAUAAAACUUAAUGAUGAGUGGGAACCUACUAUAAAGAUUAGAAUUAAAGAUUAUGAGUGUUUUGCUUUGUGUGAUUUGGGUGCUAGUGUUUCCACGAUUCCGAAAACUUUAUAUGAUAUUCUAGGUUUCCAUGAUCUUGAUGAUUGCUCUUUAAAUUUGCACCUUGCGGAUUCCACCAUUAAAAGCCAAUGGGAAGGAUCAAUGAUGUUCUCAUUGUUGCAAAUAGAAAUUUGGUGCCUGUGGAUUUUAUUGUUCUUGAUAUAG
rnacentral:rRNA from 1 species